rnacentral:rRNA from 1 species
CCUACGGGUGGCUGCAGUGAGGAAUAUUGGUCAAUGGCCGGAAGGCUGAACCAGCCAAGCCGCGUGAAGGACGAAGGUGCCAAGUAUUGUAAACUUCUUUUGUCAAGGGACAAAAUCAGGCACUAGAGCCUGCACGAGGGUACUUGAAGAAAAAGCAUCGGCUAACUCCGUGCCAGCAGCCGCGGUAAUACGGAGGAUGCGAGCGUUAUCCGGAUUUAUUGGGUUUAAAGGGUGCGUAGGCGGACUGUUAAGUCAGCGGUAAAAGCCCGGGGCUCAACCCCGGCGAGCCGUUGAAACUGGCGGUCUUGAGAUGUCGAGAGGUAAGCGGAAUGCGCGGUGUAGCGGUGAAAUGCUUAGAUAUUGCGCAGAACCCAGAUUGCGAAGGCAGCAUACCGGCUGCAAACUGACGCUGAGGCACGAAAGCGUGGGUAUCGAACAGGAUUAGAUACCCGAGUAGUC